rnacentral:rRNA from 1 species
GAGUUUGAUCCUGGCUCAGGAUGAACGCUAGCGGCAGGCUUAACACAUGCAAGUCGAGGGGUAACAGGAGUGCUUGCACUUGCUGACGACCGGCGCACGGGUGCGUAACGCGUAUAGAACUUACCUUUUACAGAGGGAUAGCCUUUAGAAAUGAGGAUUAAUACCUCAUAGUAUUGAGACUUGGCAUCAAGACUUAAUUAAAGAUUUAUCGGUAAAAGAUGGCUAUGCGUCCUAUUAGUUAGUUGGUAAGGUAACGGCUUACCAAGACUUCGAUAGGUAGGGGUCCUGAGAGGGAGACCCCCCACACUGGUACUGAGACACGGACCAGACUCCUACGGGAGGCAGCAGUGAGGAAUAUUGGGCAAUGGAAGCAACUCUGACCCAGCCAUGCCGCGUGCAGGAAGACGGCCCUAUGGGUUGUAAGCUGCUUUUAUACAGGAAGAAACUCUGCUACGUGUAGCAGCUUGACGGUACUGUAAGAAUAAGGACCGGCUAACUCCGUGCCAGCAGCCGCGGUAAUACGGAGGGUCCGAGCGUUAUCCGGAAUCAUUGGGUUUAAAGGGUCCGCAGGCGGUCAAUUAAGUCAGAGGUGAAACCCCAUAGCUUAACUAUGGAACUGCCUUUGAUACUGGUUGACUUGAGUCAUAUGGAAGUAGAUAGAAUGUGUAGUGUAGCGGUGAAAUGCAUAGAUAUUACACAGAAUACCGAUUGCGAAGGCAGUCUACUACGUAUGUACUGACGCUGAGGGACGAAAGCGUGGGGAGCGAACAGGAUUAGAUACCCUGGUAGUCCACGCCGUAAACGAUGGAUACUAGUUGUUGGGUAUUAGCUCAGUGACUAAGCGAAAGUGAUAAGUAUCCCACCUGGGGAGUACGGUCGCAAGACUGAAACUCAAGGGAAUUGACGGGGGCCCGCACAAGCGGUGGAGCAUGUGGUUUAAUUCGAUGAUACGCGAGGAACCUUACCAGGGCUUAAAUGUAGUGGGACAGGUCUAGAGAUAGACCCUUCUUCGGACUCAUUACAAGGUGCUGCAUGGUUGUCGUCAGCUCGUGCCGUGAGGUGUCAGGUUAAGUCCUAUAACGAGCGCAACCCCUAUCGUUAGUUGCCAGCGGGUAAUGCCGGGAACUCUAGCGAAACUGCCGGUGCAAACCGUGAGGAAGGUGGGGAUGACGUCAAAUCAUCACGGCCCUUACGUCCUGGGCUACACACGUGCUACAAUGGUCGGUACAGAGAGCAGCCACUACGCGAGUAGGAGCGAAUCUUCAAAACCGAUCUCAGUUCGGAUCGCAGUCUGCAACUCGACUGCGUGAAGCUGGAAUCGCUAGUAAUCGGAUAUCAGCCAUGAUCCGGUGAAUACGUUCCCGGGCCUUGUACUCACCGCCCGUC